AUGGAAACUUUUUGAACUACGUGCUGGCAAGAAUGUGGCUGACAACACGGUGACCUGGAUCUGCCUCCAGGGGUGCUGGCAGAGCAGGGCUCUCACGCAGGGUUAGGAGAUGCACAGAAUUCAAGGCCUCCGAGUGACAGUUAGCAGAACCUGAAUGGGCUGCUCAUCGAGGAAAAAGCCCUGAUGGAGUCCAGGAACUCAAGUCCCAGUUCUGGUUCCUUCGCCAUUCAGCUGUGCCAUCAUGGGCACAUCACUUAGCCUCACUGGAGUUCAGUUUCCUCAGUAGUAAAAUGUGGUAAGCACAUCUCAAUUCAGACCAGCCACACUCCAGUGCUCGACAGCCACCUGUGGCUCACGGCCUGUACUGGACAGUGCAGCUGGAACCCAAUGGAUGAUUUUUUAAGGUCCCACUUGUGUCCCUCACUCAUCUACAGGCUCCAUGAAGUCAGAUAUCAAACAUUUCCAUUGCUACAUUCUCCAGGCCUAAUCUGGAUCCUCCCGGAGUGGCUCUUCAGUGAACAUCUACUGAAUUGAACAGACAUGCACAGAGCAGAUGGACAGCACUAGGGACUUGUCCUCUGGCCCCAGAGGCCCAUGAAAGAGUAUCCAGGCAGGCUGGACUAUGCUGGGAAGGGGGAAGGCCUGGGCCCUCAUUGAAAGGGAAGGACCCCAAAAGGAAGAGAAACCCAUCAACAUCCUGUUAACUAAAUGGAGAGAAAUGCUGUUUAGGGGAAAAAAAAAAUGAUAAAUAAAAUUCCUGAGAGAAGCUGCUAA
rnacentral:lncRNA from 1 species